UGCUUAUGUUGUGACGUCUGGGUGGACAAGCACUGCUUCAGAGCUCUGUCGCAUAAUUCCUCUUAUUUACUCUCUAGUAACAAGAUUUUGCAAAAGUACAGAUGAACUUGAAGUUCCAUCUCUUCCUUAUCACAGGGACAUCCCAAGAAUUCUUUUCUUUGCACUUCUCGGCAUUACAUAUUUCUUCCUAGCUCCAUUAAUUUUGCCCUUCCUCCUGAUGUACCUCUGUCUUGCAUACAUCAUCUUCAGUAAUCAGUUCAAAAAUGUAUACAUGCCCAAGUAUGAGACUGCUGGGAAGUUCUGGCCUAUUGUGCACAAUUCAAUGAUAUU
rnacentral:misc_RNA from 1 species